UACGGAGGGGGCUAGCGUUGUUCGGAAUUACUGGGCGUAAAGCGCACGUAGGCGGAUUUGUAAGCCAGGGGUGAAAUCCCGGGGCUCAACCUCGGAACUGCCUUUGAUACUGCAAAUCUCGAGUCCGGAAGAGGUGAGUGGAAUUCCUAGUGUAGAGGUGAAAUUCGUAGAUAUUAGGAAGAACACCAGUGGCGAAGGCGGCUCACUGGUCCGGUACUGACGCUGAGGUGCGAAAGCGUGGGGAGCAAACAGG
rnacentral:rRNA from 1 species